rnacentral:lncRNA from 1 species
CGCACGCCACUUCCCUCAGCCUGUAGAACUUCCGGCAGCAACUGCAAUUAGGGGUAGUCCAGUGCUAAAUUGUCGCAGCCUUGAAAAUAUUCUGCUUCGUUAUUUCGGGCACUCCACAGAUUCUGUUGCGAAGGCAGCCAUCUUUAGUUCGUCUUUCCUAGAGAGCGUUGAGAAGAUUCUGCUCCAUUUUUUCUGAUUAUGGAUUCUGUUCAGAAGGAAGCCGAAUUUUAAGUCAUCGUUCUAGGAUAGAUUCAGCUCCAUUUUCUCUGGUGGUAGAUCUCCAUGGAUGCUAUUGAGAAGGUACUUCUCAAAGUCCACGAGGACAAGGACAUCUUUCCACCGAAUGCCACCUGGUUUAUAACAAAAGCAUGAAAAACAAACAGGAAUUUCUCAAUGCAGAAAGGACUGAAGCUGUCAAAGGUGUGCUUUUUUUCUGCACAAACAAGUUUCCAUUGAAUGAUAGAAUAAAGAGAUACUGACUUCCCCGGAGCCUCCAAACUUGAGUAGUCAGGCAUUGGGAUCCGUGGAAGGCUUGUUAAAUCCAAAUAGAUUGGUCCUACUCCAUCCGCAGAGUUGCUGACGAGGUGCGUCCAGGCCUUCUCCUCACCUCUCAGGGAGAUAUACCAUGCAGUGCCUUCAGUUAUGGUGUUGUGACUGAGGAUGCUUCGGUCAGACAUGUCCCUGAAAACCUGCAUAGAGGAAUCUCUUGCCCCAAGUUUCAUUCCAAGUAUUUAAAUUGGAAUUGAGCAUCCUGUCAUGCCAGGGAUGAGAAUGCCUGGGUUACAUCAGUUAGCCCUCUCCUCUUGAGGAAUGGCAUAUUACCCAUUUUAGUUUAAGAACACAGAUGAAAAAUCACCAAGUAAAAAAGGAGCAUAGGGAGGAAUCCAGGAGAAACCAGGCUCAAGCUUCCAGCCACCCUCUUCCAGUGGAGUCAAGUGCACUGCACUUAAUUCUCCCAGCCAGGUGUGCGGCCACCUGUGCCAAGUGUUCCCAACCAGCUGCACUUCAAGGGAAGUUAUUGAAUAUGUCCUAUCCAACUAAAACAAGGAAAUGAUGAAAAAAAUAAAAUCACUUUCCAGAGGCCUCAGGGCUAACUGGAGACAGAGCUCAGACUGCAACUGAGAAAAGUUGGACUCCAAAACCUGUACUCUGAGCUUUACUGCAUGAGAAAGUUAUUGAAAUGUGCCUUGUGACAUUCAGAAUAAGUGACUUUUCAGAGGUCUCAGAGUCAGUAAGAGACAGAACUCAGAUUGUAACCAAGAAGAGCUGAACUCCAAACUUCUGUGUCCGGAAUUGGUGGGUUCUUGGUCUCACUGACUUCAAGAAUGAAGCGGCAGACCCUCGCGG